UCCUGAUCGGAAAGCCCCCUCCCCUCCCCCGGGUUAGCCGAGCGAAAGUUACUCCGCAGCCGCGUUGAACUCGGAAGUGCAAGAAAUCUGCGUUGCGCGCAAAGAAAGACGAGCAAGCGGGAAGAAAGCCUUGCGGCAAAAAUGAUUUCUGCAAAGCAGCUGGCUGACCUUGGCUACAAGACAUUUUCGAGCUCCAUGUUUCUUCUUACUCUAUAUGGUGGCUACCUCCUGAGUAAUGGUGUAUAUCGGGCAUAUCAGAGAAAUAUACAACUGAAGGAGCAAGGGAUAAAUGCUGAUGAUACUAAGCAGUGAACACUGAACACAUCAUAGUAUGUGUCAUAAAUGGAAGACUGGUAUGUUUUAUCACAAACUUCUGGGAUUUUCUGCCAUGAAGAAUGGGAAUUUCAAAUUGUGUUGAAAAAGUGGAAAUAGCUGUAUGAUUCUAGUCAUUCAAUUCUUUGCUCAGUUUCUCUCAAUCCUACAGUAGAAACUGAAGCAACCAUUAAAAGAUUUAUUUACAGAU